rnacentral:rRNA from 1 species
AGAGUUUGAUCCUGGCUCAGGAUGAACGCUGGCGGCAUGCCUAAUACAUGCAAGUCGAACGAAGCUGAUUGGAAGCUUGCUUCUGAAAGGCUUAGUGGCGAACGGGUGAGUAACACGUAGGGAACCUGCCCAGAUCACGGGGAUAACGGUUGGAAACGACAGCUAAGACCGGAUAGGUGAUGACGAGGCAUCUUGUCAUCAUGAAAAGAGCUACGGCUCUGGAGCUGGAUGGACCUGCGGCGCAUUAGCUAGUUGGUGAGGUAACGGCCCACCAAGGCGAUGAUGCGUAGCCGGCCUGAGAGGGCGAACGGCCACAUUGGGACUGAGACACGGCCCAAACUCCUACGGGAGGCAGCAGUAGGGAAUUUUCGUCAAUGGGGGCAACCCUGAACGAGCAAUGCCGCGUGAGUGAAGAAGGUCUUCGGAUCGUAAAGCUCUGUUGUAAGAGAAAAACGGCCGCCAUAGGGAAUGAUGGCGGAGUGAUGGUAUCUUACCAGAAAGCCACGGCUAACUACGUGCCAGCAGCCGCGGUAAUACGUAGGUGGCGAGCGUUAUCCGGAAUGAUUGGGCGUAAAGGGUGCGUAGGUGGCACGUUAAGUCUGGAGUAAAAGGGAGCGGCUCAACCGCUGUUGGCUCUGGAAACUGGCGAGCUAGAGUGCAGGAGAGGGCGAUGGAAUUCCAUGUGUAGCGGUAAAAUGCGUAGAUAUAUGGAGGAACACCGGUGGCGAAGGCGGUCGCCUGGCCUGCAACUGACACUGAAGCACGAAAGCGUGGGGAGCAAAUAGGAUUAGAUACCCUAGUAGUCCACGCCGUAAACGAUGAGAACUAAGUGUUGGGGAGACUCAGUGCUGCAGUUAACGCAAUAAGUUCUCCGCCUGGGGAGUAUGCACGCAAGUGUGAAACUCAAAGGAAUUGACGGGGGCCCGCACAAGCGGUGG